rnacentral:tRNA from 1 species
GUUGGUUUGGUGUGUUUAGAGCAUCUCAAUUUUUCGUGUUGAGGGGGGCGAUUGUGUCAACCAGUAGUG